rnacentral:lncRNA from 1 species
GACAUAUGAAAUCUGCCUACCCCAAACUACCAAUAAGAAGGAAGAGGUAGGAAGACCUGUUCUUCGGAGAGGAGACUCAGACAGCCACAGCGGCGAGGAGAACACCGGCAGCUAUGGAAGCAGAGGAAACCCACUUACAGGAGGACUCGGGUACAGAGGCCCGCCCACCCGCGACCUGGGAGGCUUCCAACCUGACGGAAGAGGAGGGGAGGAUUCAGCUACCCAAGGACAGCCAGCUGCAGGACAGGAAGGCUACAAAAGAAGCCGCUCUGUUUCCCAGGCCUAAGCAACAGUCAGCGACAUCCACAGAGUUGGAAAACGAGCCAAUAACCAUGUUCCCCCCUCCCACUGCUCUCUGCCAGGGUGUGUUCCCCCCUCCCACCGCACUCACACCUCACUCUGUGUUUCCCCCUCCCACAGAGCUUUCUGGCCAAUGUGUAUUUCCCCCUCCCACUGCGCUCACGUCUCACUCUGUGUUUCCCCCUCCAAACGCCUUGUUCUUUCACUGUGGUUCCCCAGACAGUGGAAUCUCUCUCUCAACUUGCAGUUCCUUCGGCUCCUUUAUUGGAGUUCACCUCUCGAGCCAUUCUCCUUGAGAAAGUGUUAUUUCAUCAGACACACUGGUUUGUGCUAUAGCUACGGGGACACUAAAUGACUUACAAAACAAAGAUAAACUCAACUCCAGCAUUCUGUUCAGCAGUGGGUCAGUCUAUGUUCAAUAAACUUUCUAGUUGAUUCAUUCGU